rnacentral:rRNA from 1 species
GAUCCUGGCUACAGAACGAACGCUGGCGGCAUGGAUUAGGCAUGCAAGUCGAACGGUGUAGCAAUACACAGUGGCGGAAGGGUGAGGAACACGUGAAUAAUCUGCCCUCAAGUUGGGAAUAACUUUCCGAAAGGAAAGCUAAUACCGAAUGUGGUUGUUUUAUCGCAUGAUAGGACAACUAAAGAUUUAUCGCUUGAGGAUGAGUUCGCGUCCCAUUAGCUAGUUGGCGGGUAACGGCCCACCAAGGCAGAGAUGGGUAGCUGGUCUGAGAGGAUGAUCAGCCACACUGGGACUGAGACACUGCCCAGACUCCUACGGGAGGCUGCAGUCGAGAAUCUUUUGCAAUGCGCGAAAGCGUGACAAAGCAAUGCCGCGUGCCGGAUGAAGGUCUUCGGAUUGUAAACGGCUGUCACUCGGGACGAAAAUGACGGUACCGAGGGAGGAAGCCACGGCUAACUACGUGCCAGCAGCUGC